UACAGAGGUCUCAAGCGUUGUUCGGAUUCAUUGGGCGUAAAGGGUGCGUAGGCGGCGCGGUAAGUCGGAUGUGAAAUCUCGGAGCUUAACUUCGAAACUGCAUUCGAUACUGCCGUGCUUGAGGACUGGAGAGGAGACUGGAAUUUACGGUGUAGCGGUGAAAUGCGUAGAUAUCGUAAGGAAGACCAGUGGCGAAGGCGGGUCUCUGGACAGUAGCUGACAACUG
rnacentral:rRNA from 1 species